CAUGGCCUUCCGCGCUGCUCAUUGGUUCACUCGCGUAAUAAGGAAGUUUCAAUGUUACUUAUCCUCAUUGGCUGUAUGUUUGCGGAAAUAGCAGAACAUUGGAGUAGACUUUUGGUGAGAAUAAAGAAUACAUUCGAAUACUUGUUGGAGGGGGAUACCAGCUGAAGUGAUAGAACUCGUAAACACCUGAAGAAUUCCAACCAUGAAAGUGACCGCUGUCGCGACUUGCAUCGGGAAAGAGCUCUCUUCCAAAUGCCACUUAAGGUAGUUCAUGCAGAAGAGAAAAAGUACGCAACAACAAUGAAGUAUAUAAUGAAGGUUUGACAAAAUAUUUGAGCCGAUUGUCUUACUAGUAAUAAAGCU